rnacentral:miRNA from 10 species
ACCCUGUAGACCCGGGUUUGUGU